UCAGCAGACGCCUGGCACACAGUAGGCCCUCAACAAGAAGAUAAAGGAAGAGUGUGCCGAGCAAGCAGAUGACAGCAUGGUGUGAGGAAACACAGGCUUCAUCUGCGGCUGACUUUACAGAGCAUUGUUCUACCAAAAGCCUGCCAGUUCCAUCGUUAAUCACGCGCUUUGAGGAGGUCUUUCUGAGUCAUGCUUGGCAACACAGAUCCAUGAUCUGUCUGUCCUUGAGCCCGAUUCAGCAACAGGACUCGGCUUGGCUUUGGUUUGAUUCUGGAGAAGAGGAGCCGGAGUUCUGAAAGAAACUGUAGAUUUAGAAUUUGCCUUUUAACAACGGCAAGAAGGAGCUGACAUACCGUCCCGAGGAAAGGCAAAUGCUUGGCUCGUGUCAAGCUCCCAGAUUUCUCACAGCUGAGGUGGAGAGGGAGCCUGGCUGCAGCUUGUGGUUUGUAGUGCGUGUGCUCCUGGGGUGCCAGGGGAGCCUGGGCUGGACUGAGUGGGUGAACCUGAGACCUUGGUGACCUGCCGUAGAGAGACUCUGCCCCUUAGCUAACUUUCAUCUCUUGCUACAUCUGUGACUGUUUCCCCAAGACUCCUGAAGCCCUCAGUGAAAAUGAGACCUUGUCUGAUCUGGAAAUAUUUUUGCCGGCCUUUGAUGGCCAGUUUAACUGUCAUCUGCUCCUAAGAGGGGGAGCCUGCGCUCUCAGAUGCUCCCUAGGGCCCUAUUUCAACCCAAAUGCCUUGGCUUAGAGCUACUGUCUCCCCUAGCAACCCUGCUAGAUUCACCUCCUGGGGCGGUCACCCCCAGACUGGCUCAGCCUGGUCUACCCACAGCCCACAGGUAAGUGGACUUCCCCAGUCCAUUCUCGUUACCUUCUCACAGCUUGCUGUAGAGACCUCAUGGGUGACCGACAACCUGGACAGUGGACAUCAACAUGGCUAUGAGUUGGUUGGGGAUAGUGUAUGCUUUUUUGUCCAUGUAAUGUAAACAUGUGUGAGCCAGAAAUAUGUAGGGUUUUCUUCCUUCCGCACUUGGGCAUUGAGGAGUCAGGACUCAAGCUUCCUGCUGGGGAACCACACCGUGAAAGUGUCCCCUGGUACAUGCCUGGCCCAUUAUGUUAUCACCCAUGAUGAGAGGGAGCAGUCCCUGACAGUGUAGGACACAGCUCCUGGGGGCUCAUCGGAGGGAGCCCAGGGGAAGUGCCUGGUUUGAGCUGGAACCUUGGCUUCUCCUCUUCUUUCUGUGCUGCUGGGAGGGGUACCCUAAAGUGUUUGGCGAUGAGGUAAUGGUCAAGAAGCUGUGGGCACCACGAUGCCUGGCCAGACACCAUGGGUGGAGCAGAGCCCGGACUGGCUCAGCUGCGAUUCCCAGAGUCUGGUUCCCUGAAGGAAAAAGGCUUCACUUCAGAGACACUGGCACUCUCCUGAUGACUCCAAGAGGAGUCCUGGAUCUCCGCUUUCUGCAGAAGCUAGUGCCAGGGAGGCCUCAGACAGACAGCUCUGAAGGGCCCACCCUGCCUCUGCAAUGUGCCCUCAUGGCAUUCUCUCUAAGCAGCAGUGGGUGGGGCAGGGGCAUACACUUCAUACCUAUCCAUCCUCUCCCAUUCCAUCCUCUCCCAUUCCAGGCUCCUGCAACCCGGGGCAGGUCAACAGGGGCGGCUGCAUGCCUACCCUCUAUGGUAGGAAUUUUGAAGUCUUUGUUUAGAUUUCACUGCACUUCUUGCUAGUAGAAGUCUGGGGUACUUUCUUUCAAAGAACAUCUUGGAAGAGAUGGUUCUCUGGCAGGGAGAUGAAUUCCAUCUUUUCCAGCUAUGUCUUUGCCCUAACUCUUAAACCUGGCAUCCUGGAGUCCCGUUAUAUCAUGGUCCCAUUGCUUAGUGGCUAACCAGGCUUGGAAUAACCCACUGAGAUCAUUUGCAAGUCAGAUGCUUUUUGGAGGUGCAACUCAAUUAAUUGCGAGUCAGUAUGUCUGAUAGGUCUGGUGUUUGAAGCUCACCGAGUCAGCAAAAGUCUGCAAAAUCUAAGAGGCGAGGAAGGUUGGUGACAGCGGGUCCUUCUGAAGUGGCUGCGUUGACCACAGCUUGGCAUGUGUCUGUCCAUUCACAGUGCCCCUAGGACCUUCCUUUAGCACGCACACAGUCUGCUCUCCUGGGUACUGCAGAUACGGACAGCAUCACCAGGAGCACAUGGGGAGUUGAGGGCACCCCUCUGAAUGCUAGUAGCAAUGACAGUUCCUCUGCUGAUGCCUGCUUUGUCUUUUGCUCAGGAGAAUUGACAGAGAAAAGGAAAAUGGCGGGUGUGGCUCUUGAGCCGUGGGCUGAGAUGCCAUCUAGAGUUGGUGAGCAUGGUGCUGGGAAAUGUUAGGGCUUACUUACAACCUCUUGCCUAGCUUGGCUGACUUAGGCACCCACAGAUGCUAGUGAGCAUGCCCAGAACCUCCUAACACUGCUUCAAGGAGCACAGGACCCUCCUACCCCCAGGGGAUUCUGCUUGCCCUUGAACCUCCUGCCGUCAGUGAGGAGAGCGUCCAGGUCAUUCUGAGCAACUCCAGUGGAGUGUUCAGCAUGGACAAGAGGAAGCCAGCCAGCCAGCCUCUCAGGACAGUGAGCAGGUGCAGCCUCACAGGACCAUGCAGCAGGUGUACACUGUGACGCAGGACCAAAGGGUUUCAGGAGGGGACACUUUUCUCUGUGCUGGUUUGACCAGAUGUGUCUAAUAAAACAGAUUGUAAGUUGAUUUUAUACAUUUGGUUUUCAUCACAACAGAAUUCACCUUGUAGGUAUUUAUUAGAUUUUUUUUGUCGCUUUAUAAUAGAAAUAUGAAGAGGACCUUAAAUAGACCUUAAAAUUUAUUAUGUUGUCUUGCCACUAACAAGAAUCCUUUUUAUUUGUAGGAUUCUUGUUUAUCACAGAUGUAGAAAUUCACCUAAUGCGCAUUUGUGUCCAUUGGAAAGGAAAACACGGCAGUUUGUAAGGCUGAAGGCUUUGGAGGCAGCAUGAGGAUUUGAGGACCGUCUAAACUCAGGGAAUUCGGACUUGGAGCUUUGCCCUAAUCAGCUCAGUGUCCUUGUUGGGUUGCUUCCUCAGGGUUUUUCUGAGAUCCACGUCUUCUCUGAGGCUGAUGCUUUCAGAUGCUCACCGGGGAGCGACACUGAGCAUGAGGAUGGUGAGGAAUGGGGACACAGGAAGCACAGUGUCACCCUUACAUUCGUGGACAGGUCCUGGUGGCAGGGCUACAGAAACGAAAGGCACAGGCGAGGUCAGCCGAUCUCUCAGUAACCAACAUGGCAAGCAGGCAACAUUUAAACAAGACUGAAAAAUGCCCAGAAAGAUGCUUAAGCCUGGCAGGAGAGAUGCCCUCACAGACAUACUAAGAGACAGAGAACACAUCUGCAAUGGUCAAGCUGGACAUCGCUCAGCUUUACCACACACAGGGCGCUGAAGCACGCGCCAACAAUGUCAAAGGAUUUGAUGACAGAAGAUCUAAUGUGACCAAGUUCAAAAACAGAGGGUGACUCCAUAGUCACCGUGUCUUUAACAAUUACGACGAGGGAGAGACAGUUUCAUUAAGGGUGUGUCCCUUGGUGUGUCAACCAUGCUACAGUAGCUAGCUCCAUACCUGGGAGUACAUGGACAACACAAUUAAACUCACCGUGGUAUUAAAAAACAAACAAACAAGCCAUGAAAUUGAGGAGAGCGGGGAAGUGGGGUAGAUUUUGGAGCGGUUGGAGAAGGAAUGGGGGUUGAGUAUGACAAAAACACAU